UUUCCCUCUCUAUUUUUUCCUUUGCUACACACACUCGGAGGAAUUACUGCAACUCAACAGCUUGCUCACAUGCACUGAUAUAAAUAACUAACGUUAUUUGAUCAUUGGUAGGGCUAGGUAAAACUGUACCUGCACUGGACUCAACGCUUGAACUUCUAUUUUGCAAGAAGAACCGUACUUUUUUACAUUAAAAUCUUUUCCUGGAUAAACUGUCCCGGCAUAUUUCACAUUGGGUUGUGUGUGUUCGAUCUGACACUUAAUGUGCUUUCCAAAUUGUAAACAUAAAUGGUUCAGAAAGUACUUAAGUGCUAGAAACAGUUUAACGUGGAUAAGGAAUUGAACAUGGCUACAUCUGAGAUGAUGCUAAGUCUCGGACUAAUUGAGAGAGAUGUAAAUGCAGACACACUUUGGGUUUGGUGUUAUCCUUCCAUCAGUGCUGAUCUGCGAGAGGUUUUGUUAAGAAAAAGUUGCCUGCCGUUGAACAGUCAGGUGCUGCACACAUUUGUGUUUGGACAAUACUGCCGAACCUGGUACUACAUCACCACUGUCGAAGUUCAGGAGCCAACUGUGCUUAAAAAGGUGACACAUUUCUCAAUAGUUAUCACAGCUAAGGACUUCAACCCUGAAAGAUAUGCUGCGUUCAGUAGAGUCCUGUGCAGGUAUGUUUAAUUUAAGUACUAACCAUUUAGUGCAACCUCUUGGUGCUUGUGUUG